GAUGAACGCUAGCGGCAGGCCUAAUACAUGCAAGCCGAACGGUAAGAUUGGUAGCAAUACUGAUCUGAGAGUGGCGUACGGGUGCGUAACACGUAUGCAACCUACCCAGAACUGGAGGAUAGCUCAGGGAAACUUGGAUUAACCCUCCAUAAGAUCGUGUCCAGGCAUCUGGGUGCGAUAAAAACCUUCGGGUGGUUCUGGAUGGGCAUGCGCAUGAUUAGUUAGUUGGUAGUGUAACGGACUACCAAGGCGAUGAUCAUUAGGGGACCUGAGAGGGUGAUCCCCCACACUGGCACUGAGAUACGGGCCAGACUCCUACGGGAGGCAGCAGUAGGGAAUAUUGGUCAAUGGGUGCAAGCCUGAACCAGCCAUGCCGCGUGCAGGAAGACGGCCUUCUGGGUUGUAAACUGCUUUUACCAGGGGAUAAAAGGCCCAUGCGUGGGACAUUGAAGGUACCUGGUGAAUAAGCCACGGCUAACUAC
rnacentral:rRNA from 1 species